rnacentral:rRNA from 1 species
AAUGCCCUACGGGGCGCAGCAGUGGGGAAUAUUGCACAAUGGGGGAAACCCUGAUGCAGCGACGCCGCGUGGGCGAUGGAGUACUUCGGUAUGUAAAGCCCUAUCAGCAGGGAAGAAAAUGACGGUACCUGACUAAGAAGCCCCGGCUAAAUACGUGCCAGCAGCCGCGGUAAUACGUAUGGGGCAAGCGUUAUCCGGAUUUACUGGGUGUAAAGGGAGCGUAGGCGGCCUGGCAAGCCUGAUGUGAAAUACCGGGGCCCAACCCCGGGGCUGCAUUGGGAACUGCCAGGCUGGAGUGCCGGAGG